GUCCUAGUAGCGCGUGGAUAACGCGUUGGACUUCUAAUCUAAAAGCCGUGGGAUCGAAUCUCAUCUGGGAUA